rnacentral:rRNA from 1 species
UACGUUAGAGUUUGAUCAUCAGGAUGAACGCUAGCGGCAGGCCUAAUACAUGCAAGUCGAACGAACGUAGAGAGCUUGCUAACUGGGAAAGUGGCGCACGGGUGCGUAACGCGUAUGCAACCUACCUUAAUCAGGGGGAUAGCCAGGAAAGAGAGAUUAACACCGCAUAAAAUCACACUUCGACAUCGAAGAAUGAUCAAAUAUUUAUAGGAUUAAGAUGGGCAUGCGUGACAUUAGUUUGUUGGUGAGGUAACGGCUCACCAAGACUACGAUGUCUAGGCCAUCUGAGAGGAUGACCCCCCACACUGGUACUGAGACACGGACCAGACUCCUACGGGAGGCAGCAGUAAGGAAUAUUGGUCAAUGGGGGCAACCCUGAACCAGCCAUGCCGCGUGCAGGAAGACGGCCCUACGGGUUGUAAACUGCUUAAGCACGGGAAUAAAUCUCGCUACGUGUAGUGAGUUGAAUGUACGGUAAGAAUAAGGAUCGGCUAACUCCGUGCCAGCAGCCUCAGAUAAUACGGAGGAUCCAAGCGUUAUCCGGAUUGAUUGGGUAAAGGGUGCGUAGGCGGCCUAUUAAGUCAGUGGUGAAAGACGGUGGCUCAACCAUCGCAGUGCCCUUGAUACUGAUCCGCUUGAUUACACUUGAGGUAGGCGGAAUGUGACAAGUAGCGGUGAAAUGCAUAGAUCACGCACAGAACACCAAUUGCGAAGGCAGCUUACUAAGGUGUCAAUGACGCUGAGGCACGAUUGCGUGGGGAUCACGCAGGAUUAGAUACCCUGGUAGUCCACGCCCUGUCGAUGAAUACUCGAUGUUAGCGAUAUACAGUUAGCGUCAAAGCGAAAGCGUUAAGUAUUCCACCUGGGGAGUACGCCCGCAAGGGUGAAACUCAAAGGAAUUGACGGGCCCGCACAAGCGGAGGAGCAUGUGGUUUAAUUCGAUGAUACGCGAGGAACCUUACCCGCUUGAAAGUUACUGAAUGAUCUAGAGAUAGGUCAGUCCGCAAGGACACCUGUACUAGGUGCUGCAUGGCUGAUCCCAGCUCGUGCCGUGAGGUGUUGGGUUAAGUCGCGCAACGAGCCCCUAUGUUUAGUUGCCAGCAUGUAAUGGUGGGGACUCUAAAUCAGACUGCCUGUGCAAACAGAGAGGAAGGAGGACGGACGACGUCAAGUCAUCAUGGCCGCUUACGUCCGGGGCUACACACGUGCUACAAUGGGCAGUACAGAGGAUCCUAGCCUGGUAACAGGAUGCCAAUCUCAAGGAGCUGUUCACAGUUCGGAUAGAGGUCUGCAACUCGACCUCUUGAAGUUGGAUACCAUAGUAAUCGCAUAUCAGCAAUGAUGCGGUGAAUACGUUCCCGGGCCUUGUACACACCGCCCGUCAAGCCAUGGAAGUUGGGGGUACCUGAAGUACGUAACCGCAAGGAGCGUCCUAGGGUCGAUAACUGGGGCUAAGUCGUAACAAGGUAACCUG